rnacentral:rRNA from 1 species
GCUUAUCACCCAUUCAGAUUGAAUAUACCCGAUCUCGUCUGAUCUCGGAAGUCAAGCAAUCUCGGGCUUGGUUAGUACUUGGAUGGGUGACCGCUUGGGAAUAC